UUGUGGUGUGAAAAUUAUUGCGCUGUGUAAAAUUGUUGAAUAAAAACUUAUUAUACUAUGUUAUUUAGUGUUUUUAAAUGUGAAAAAGUAGUGCAAGUUUUUGUGAGAUUAGUGUAAAUAGUUAAAUUGUGUAAAAAGUGCAAAAUAGUGAUUAAACGUACAUAAUUGCAGAUUUACAAUCGAGCCUCUUGUGGUUACUACAAAGUGUCGCCGUGUUCAUUCAUUUUGAAGGUCAAGAUUUAAGCGUACCUGUGAGAAAAAUGCGCUCCAGCGAUUUAAAAUCAUGGACCGCUUUAGUUUGAUCUAAAGAAUCUGUCACUCACCUGGAAUGUCGGCAAGUCCAGCACUGCCAUGGAGACCAAUAGAUUGAAAGUGGCUGCCGCCAAUGAAACCGUGCGCGGCGGAAUGCAUUCACCUGCAGAAUAAGAGAUGUGUAUAAACAAAAAGAAUACAAACUGAAAAUUAUAAAAAAGAAACAAUCGAAGACAAGGCUCUCAAGAAUCUUAUCUUAUGUAUAUGCUACAUAAGAUGCAUUUGCACUAGCCGGAUAUGACGCUAAUAAAAAACAUUAAAGGGUAAAAUCACUAAUUUCCGCCUUCGCGUACAACUCACGUCGCGUUCACACACACACACACAGACACAUAAGUAUUCGACAGACAGAAAGCCAAUCAACUGUUAAAUGCACUUUGCACUCGAUUAGAAUGUACUUAGACGAAUGAGUGUGCGAAAGAUGCACGCACUAAAGAGAAUGCAAUAAAUCACGAAAUCGUAGAGGAAAGCAGCACAAUGAAUCACAGACAAGCGGCAUUUACUCACCGAUUGGCACCACGCACGCGUAGAGCAUCGAUACCGAACCGAAAAGUUCCGUGGAUUUUGCUGCGCUCAGGAAACGUG